GGGGGCGGGGACGGGGUGAGGAUUUUGGCGAGGCGAGUAACGCCAGACGGGAAGGUCCAGUACCUUGUGGAGUGGGGGAACGUGAGUGUGUACUGAGAGAAAGUGAGAGAUAGAUGGGGGGGUGGAGGGAGGCAGAGAGGAUCAACACACCAGAGUGCUUGGCAGGAAAGAGGGGAUAUUGGAGAGAGAGAGGGAGAGGGAGAAUGACUGUUGUGCAGGUGCCACAUCAGAAAUGUGUGGCAACUUCAAGUACAAGCAAAACAAAAACCCCACACAAGGCAAAUCCAGGUUGCUCAAAUGAUAUCGCCUCCAUUCUAUAUCAUCACACUACGUGUUACUAUAUCUCCCUCUUUGGUAGUGUUUCUCCUAUAUUUGUACUGUAUACCUUUGGAAUAUGCCUUUGCAUUUAUCAUGUUUACGUUUGAAGAUUGUAUAUACAGUAUUUGAUUAUAGGCAAUUUGUUACGUUACCUUUUGUCAUACUUGAUUUACAUGAUAGUAUGUAAUAGAAAUAUAUUAGGAGCCACAACAGGGCUUUUGUUUUAUAGUUAGAUUUAUAUAUUCACAGUAUAUUAUUAUAGGAUGAUUUGAUUUGAUGUGGUUGCAUAGUGCCUAUUUGGAUUGUGCAUCUGCAGAUUAAGAAGUUGACCUGAAUCCAGGGAUCAGGUGAUUGAAAUGUAUGGCAUGUAUGAUAACUAUUCUAUAAGGUUUUCUUCCUCAUCCACCAAUUGCAAUUGAAGAGUCACGACAAUGUUGUGUAGGCUUUCACACACAGAAUUAGUGUAAAAUACAUUCCAAACAAAUAUUAAAGCAUCUCUUCAAGAUUACUGAUCAAAAUCUUUGAUCAGAUAGCCAUGGAAAAUGGUGGCUCGUUGAGCCAGAUUUGACUUUCAAUUUGUUGAGGGGUGUUUUUGCAUUGUUUUAGGGAAGAGAAGUCAACAAAUUAUGGUAUUAUGUGCAGGUGAAACUAUUUGUACUGUUUUCCAUUUUCAGGCCAUAAACAGAGGAGUCAGCUCCUAUCUACCAGGUUUACACUGAGGAUGAGAGAUAGCGUUAACUCUGGCCCACUUCCAAGCUGAUACCUAAGCACUAGUCUGGACACUGUAGAUCUGACAAGAUUGGUUAGAUCUGAGCAAUAUGGCUUAAGUUUCAUCCGGUCUAUCAGAGGGAAAGGUGAGCGUUUAUCAUAUUUUUCAUAUAUCUGAUCCUUUCAGAUGCACGCAAGAGUCUAAGGGGUUAGGGCUAUGGGUUUGUGUUUGAUUUGGAACUGGGCCCCAGAGAUCAUAGUGGAACAGGAUGUUGUGUAUAGAACUCUAGAAUAUCAUAGUGCAAGGUUCAGAGUUUAUAUUUAUACAGAUCUUUAUUUCUGCCUUUUGUGGGAUAAAACACAGAUAAGAGUAAAUGUGUGCGUUGUAUCCCCCAGAAGACAGAUUGUGUUACAGGUGUAGUUAACGUAAAUAACACAACAUGUUAUAAUCAUGUCAACAGAAAACAUUUUCAGUCAUUUUUUUAAAACCACAGCAAGAUGUCACCCGUUCCCCAGAUUGAAUGAUGUGAAAUAUGCCAUCUCUUACUUAAGCAAUUAGGCCUGAGCGGGUGUGGUAUAUGGCAAAUAUACCACGGCCAAGGGCUGUUCUUAAGCACUACCAAAUGUGGAGUGCCUGGAUACAGCCCAUAUCCAUUGUAUAUUGGCCAUAUACCACAAACCCCAGAGUUGCCUUAUUGCUAUUAUAAACUGGUUAACAACGUAAUUAGAACAGCAAACAGGUAAUUUUGUGUCAUACCCGUGGUAUACAGUCUGAUAUACCGCAUCUUUCAGCCAAUCAGCAUUCAGGGCUUGAAUGACCCGGUUUAUAAGAGUGAAUAGAUGAUUGCUCAGCCUGGUCUAAUAGACUAGACGUAACAUAGUAAAUGUAAAUCCGGAACACUCAAAUUAGUAUGAUAUGUUACGUUUGGUAUGGUUAGAUAAGACAGAAGGUUACUUAAGAAAAAAAAGGGAAGUAAUGUGGAUGGGUAGGAAUAUAACGUGAAUGACUAGCAACCCAAAGGUUGCGUGUUUGAAUCUCAUCACAGAGUUUAGCAUUUUAGUGCAUUAGCAUCUUUGCAGCUACUUAGCAUGUUAGCUAACCCGUCCCCUAACCUUAACCCUUUAACUUAACUCCUCACCCUAACCCCUAGUGGAGUUAACGGUAGCCACCUAGAUAACUUUAGCCACAACAAGUUGGAAUUCGUAAAACAUACAUUUUGCAAAUUCGUAACAUAUAAUACAACAUCCACAAAUUAAGACAUAUCAUACAAAAUGUAACAUAUACUAAUUGGAGAGCCAUAGAUUUACAUUUACUAUGUUACGUCUACCCCCGAGUCUAGGUUGGAUUGCAAAGGGUUUGGCACGUUUCUAAACAGCAGUGCAGGUCAAAUUAACCUCCCAACUCAGUCCUUCCCAUCCCAGUUUAGGAUUUAGAUACUUCUCAGUGAAUUUGGCUGUAGUUGAAUAGGAAGAGGUCUGUGGAACCAUCAAUUCGAUGGUAAUGAAUGUAUCUGUAUGUUUUCUAUGGUAAAGUAUGUCUAUAGACCCGUCAAGUGUUUGUUACUGUAGGUUAUAGAUGGAACUAUACAAAAUGACUUCAAAGGACUGGGCUAAAUCUGAUUUUGAGUUGAGGAACAAGAAGCUAAGUCUUCUCUUUUUUUAUUAUUUGUAGUCAAGUCCAAGUUUGGUUUGAUGUAUUUUUUGACUUUUGGUCAAAUUACGUUUAUACAUGUAUAACCUAGGCUGACACAGCCAAUGUAAAAUUUAAAAAAUUAAAAGUUGCCCUUCACAUCUUA
ensembl:lncRNA